CAUCUUCGUCGCUCUCUGGAAAAACAGACCGCCACCGUCUCCAUCGCUCCCACCACCACCACUAUCUUUAUUUCUCCCACCACCACCACCACCACCACUUCCCAAGCCAUCGGUUUAGAUCGAUUUUCAACUAUAAACAUAAAUCUAGUGAUGAAUCAACGAUAAACUAAAUCCUAAAACCUAAUCUCGAGCAUCGAUUGGGAAGAGGCGAUGAGAAUCCACCACCACCACCUCAUCCUAAAUCGAUUAUAGACCGAUUUCAACUUUCCUCAGCUAUAAAAAUUUAAUAUGGCGAUGAAUCAGUGAGAACCUAAUCUCCAACACUCAAUCUUGAUCAUUAGAAACAUUAGAUUUAUUUCGAUUUCAGUUUGAAGAACUCAAAAUCGAUGAUAACAAUGUUUGUUUAUGAGACUUGGAUGUAUCAAAUGUGAAAAGAGGAUGAAAAUAGUCAUCAACUAGUGGAUCUAAGGAUUCAAUCAUCACAAGCGAAUUAAAAGAUAAGUCGAUCUCUUACUGUUAUUAUUACCUAAAUUGGAUCUUGGUUUUGAUUUUUGGUGUUGAUUCAACGUGAUUUCUUUAUUUAUUUUGAGCUCUUGGUUGUUUAUUCAUCUCUGAAAUAGGCAAAUUUCUCCAUGUCUUGUUAUUCCAGGCAAAAGUGUUGUUGGUGGUAGAUGUUGUGGCACUGGUGUUGGUCCUGUUGUUAUUGUUGUGGUUGUGGACACUUGUUACAAUGGAGUGGAUGGUGGUAGCUUUCCUGUGGUAGUGAGGUUGGUGGGUGCUGGUGGUAUUAUAUUUAUGGAGGUAGUGAUGGUAGAGUUUCAUAGAGUUAAUUGGUUUGUUUAGUUUUGAGUUAAUUUACUGUGUUUUAGAUUAAGUCAAUUGAAUUGGAUUGGUGGUGGUCUUAGUGGUAAUAAAUUCAGUGGAUGAUUUGUUAGGUUGGUGGUUACUGGAUUGGUGUUGGAAUGGUGAUACUGUUGGGUUGGUGGUAGUAUUACUUAUAUGUAGUAAACUCAGUGGUGAUGGUGAUUUGUUGGGGUUGGUGGUUGCUGGACUGGUGUUGUAUUGGUGAUACUGUUGGGUUGGUGGUAGUAAUACUUCUAUAGAUUACAACACGAGCACAACCUUCUAUAAUUUAAUAAUUUGAAGGAACAUGUCUUAAGAGUUGGAGAAGAGGUUUCAGUUCCAUUUUUGCAAGAAAUAUUGCAGUAGCAAUGUUAGACGAACCUGUGGUGUAAUGGUUUCACAACUGACUCUAGUCAGAAGAUGCGUGUUCGAUUCACGUCAGGCUCACUGAUUUUAGUAAAUCAAUUUUUGGGGAUCAAUUUUGGUUGUUGACAUUAGAUUUUGGCAUCAACUUUGAUUGUUGACACGAUUUUUUGAGAUCAAGUUUGGUUGUUGACGCUAUACAUAAUUUGUACAUUUUUUGAAUUUUUAAUUUUCGUAUCAACUUGGGUUGUUGACACUAAAUUUUUGUUAACUUUGGUUGUUGAUACCUUAUUUUGGGAUCAACUUUGGUUGUUGACACUAUUUUUUAUUUUACUGAUUUUUGUUUUCGGGAUCAACUUCGGUUGACGCCAUCUUUUUUAUUAUUAUUUUCUGAUUUUUUUAUCCUUGCGUUGUUAGAGGCCACUCAAAAAGAAUUAGGGGCCACUUUUUUAUUCUCAUCCAUUAAAGGAGGUUAAGGGUGUCUUAAAAAUAGAAAAUUGUCUAUAUUGUCCUUCACCUUUAUACUAAAUCUAAAC